rnacentral:lncRNA from 1 species
UCUCUCUCUCUCUCUCUCUCUCGUCUUUUCUCUUUUCUUCCCCUAUCUCUCUUGCCUUAAUGCUUAGUUUGCUCAUUAUCACAAGGUAAAUGGCACCAUUGCUUGAAACACUACUCUCAGUGAGGGAGAAUUUAUCUCAUUUCAGAAGUAAGCAUUUGUAAUCGUUGACAUGGAGGCCAUUUUACAGAUGUAGACUGUUGAUGUACUUGACUUUCUAAGGAGAUGGGCUAUGGUUCUUUGUAUUUGCUAGGUAUUUGCUGCUGUGCUCUAUUUUCUUUACUUUCCUUACAUUCUCUCCUAUAGAGGUAGAGUAGAUAGUUCCUCCCUGGGAAAGGCACAGCAGCCCAGACUUGGUGUGCAUUUUAGCGUGAGAAUGCUAUAAUCAAAAACCUUCAUAUUUUGUAGAUGGCACACGGUACCAUAUAGAAAAUUGUUAAUGAAUUUAUCUUUAUAGCAUAUACUUUAAAUGUGCAUUAAUAUGUGAAGAGUUGAAACUUAAGUGGCAUACUCUUACACAAAAUGAAGGUGACAGGUUAGAAUACAUGAUACUGUAAAUGAAGUCAUUUUGAAGGCCUGAGAUAUCUACAUUGCACAGGGUUCUUGUAGGCAUCCCAGGUCCCACCUUUCCAAAGUAUCAUCUCUGUUGUUUCCCAUGAUGCCAUUUCUCCUUCUGAUUCUGCUGCUAUUCUAUUCCCAUUCUUUCAGGAACAAAUAGCAAUGUCUCAAAUCUUCAUAUUAUCACCUUGUACUAAUAGCUAUGUUCUUAUUUAUCUUCCUUUACACCUGAACAUUGAAAUGUCUUGUAUGCCUUAGUUAAUUAAAGUAUCCCCUUGUCAUGGUUAAGUCACGAUAAACUUGGCUUGAGAAAAUAAGUCAUACUAGUCUAUAAGGUGAGAGUUAAAAGGUAAACAUCUACAAUCUAAGACAGGUGGCAAUGGGAAGAUUGUAGCCUUGAAAUUAGCUGGUGGGGAAACAUCACCAUUAAACAUGUCCUGUAUGAAAUUUAAUAAAACGCUCUACCUACAAAUAGUAAAGUCUGUAGCUUUGCCAUCCAGAUUUCUAAUGUUGUACAAAAAAAUAAUGUGGUCCCUAGAAUAGCAGAAGUCAUUUAGUGAAGGUCAUGAGAAACAUUACAAGGUGGAGAUGCUGGAAUUUCAGGAUUUUGUAAAGGGAUAGCUAAGCUAAGUCUAACGGCUCUGGUGUCUUCACACAUACACUGGCUCCUAAAAAGAGCUUGGUAGCUCUUUGAGUGGCUAUAUUUAAUUUUUCCAUUACUGUUACAGUCAAGCAAUCAAACUUCCACUUUCUGUAUUUCAUCCUCGGGGAGCAAACAGAGAAAUUGACACAGAAGACACGGUUAGCUUUUGUCUUCUGUCUGACAUGACAAAAGCGCUGAGCUGGUCAGUGCUGGGGGUCACAGAUCUCAGGUGCUCCUUUCCGGCUGUGUAGAGCCUUAGGUAAGAAAGGCUCAAUGUGCCCUGGACAUUUGUACAUGUUUAUCUACUUGUUUCUCCUAAUGCAAUGUCCUCUCACCAGGGAGAGAUUACCAAAGGACAGUGUUGGGAGAAUGCAAGUACUCACUGGACUCAAGGACACCGUGCUCUGAGUCUUGGGACUUUCUUCUUCCUAAGCCACAAGCUGAGUAAGCUGUGGUCCAGCAUGGGUGUCUGGGUGCUUUUCAGACCUUCAGGCUCACGAUACAAGUCUGUGACUAAGCAGAGUAGAAAAACUCCCUGUUCUCUAAACAUGAUGUCAAUGGAGCUGUCAUUUCUAUAAGAGAGUUGAGUGGAAUUUCCAGGAUUUAAACCCUGCCCGCCCACUUUGCCUGUCUGGACAGAGAUUCACAGACCGCCCCCAAACCACCGAAUUAUCUUGGUUUUGUAUUCUCCUAAUGAGCACAUAUUUACCAAAUUUUAAAGUAGCUAGGACUCAAAAGAGUGGUUGUAAUCCAAUAAUCAUCAAAUGAUGACUUUUUUUUCCUGUGUAUCUUAUAUUCUGCUAAAAGAGUAAAAGUAACAUGUUCAAUAUCAAUGAAAAUGACUUUUAUUGGAUUUCUAACCCGGUAAUGUGCACUUUCUCUUGAAUAAUAACUGAUGGCCAAAUUUGAAAAUUUUAAGAAAAUAUGAACGAGACAUGUAGAGUCUGUCGAUCAUAUUGAGUCAAAAUAGUGCUCACUUGGGUAGUUACGUUUGUUGGUCUCCCUGUCCCUGUGAGUGGUUAGUCGUGUGUGCUUGAUUAUGUGGCUUGGGUAAAGGUACACACACAUUUCUCUUCACUAUUGGCAUUCUAUUAUUCACCUUUUGCUAGUUUAUUGGGUUCCCCAGGGUGUGGUCUACCUCAUUACUGUCCCAUCCCCUGUCUUGCCUUACAUUCCUGCUAUGGCUCACCCUCCACUCUACUCUUGUGCCUACAGAUCUGUCGCAGCCUUUUCCUCUCAUGCUAUUCCAUUUGAUUUCCCUAUCCCUAAUUUCUCAAUGGAUGCUAUUUUAAUAAUGGAUGACAUGCCUUUAGUAUUUCUUGUUUUCUGUUGAAUUUGAAAACAUCAUUUUUCCUUGAUGUAAUAAUGCUAGAUUACAGAUUUUUCUAUACAAAUCUGUAUAUCCAAUUAUUUCCUUCAGAUUGGUUUUAUCUACUAUUUCAUAUGUAAUGAUCAUCCAAAUGGUCACUGUUUGUGAUCCCAAAAUGCCUUGUAAAGAGGAGACACUGCUUUCCUGUGACUGGCACUGGGUAUCACCACGUUUUUGUUAUUUGUCCCAGUUUUCUUUCUUUGUAGUUCUAGGGCUUGAACACCUGACCUAGUGGGGGAGUCAUUUUCUCAUAUUUUAUUACAUGUCACUCUUGUUCUGUUUGUUUGAAAUGCCAGCUUGCAGAAAUUUUGCAUUUGUAUUUAAAUAUAGUAAACAUUUUUAUUCAUGUAUAUUGCUUUUAUGGUCAUAACCUUUUUGUAUACAACAUUUAAAUCUCUCUCUUUCACAUACACACACAGGUAUCUCUCUCUAUAUAUCAUUAAUAUAUCUAUCUAUUUAUCAUCUAUCUAACAUCUAUCUAUCUCUAUCAUCUAUCUACCUAGCGAUCUAUCUAUCUAUCUAUCUAUCUAUCUAUCUAUCUAUCUAUAUUUUUCUCCCAAAAUCUCUCAACAACUCAGCAUUAUCUAAGUAAUAAUAUCCCUAAGUUUAUGAAGCUCAUAAAUUAUGGCACUUGUCAUGAUAUAAUAAUACACAUUAAAUUUUAUGUUCUAUGCUAAGAUAUUUUUAGGUAAUUUAUUCUACUUCAUUUAUCAUUCUAUUGGUAUAACAGCCAAUUACUAUACCAUUUUAUUAUUAAAAUGUUCAAAAUCCCUUUUUACUUUGGAGAGAAAUGCUGCUUCAAUUAUUACCUUAUUACUCUAAACAAAUCCAUAUUGAGCACAACUUAUGUUUGUAUGGAGGGGUUUUGUGUUCAGCUUUUUCUAUAUUUGGAAAUAACAUGAAUAGUGCUUUGAAGUGUACAGCUCAUGGCGUUUCAAGUUAUCUUGAAGGUGUUAUCUCUUGUGAUCACGCCCCCACUGUGCACUUUAUGCGCCAUCGAUGCUUCACCAUGUGUUUCUGUCUGUGUGCCAUGCUGAAUCAUUAAGCUUGCCUCUUUUGUCUUCUCAGAUUAGGAGAAAGUUAGUGAAAGUGGCUGUGAAUGGUCUUAAUCUGUUUUUUUUUUAUUUCCUUCAUUUCCCUCUGAAAUACAAUAACACAGUACAUGCAUGAUAUUUGAUUUUUUUCAGAAUACUUUUAACAAAACAACAUGCCAAAAAUAUUAGCAGAAGUACCAGUGCUAACAUGAAGAAAUGUUGCUUAUGAUAUGUGCAAUUGCCAACAUUGUCCAUUGAAGAGUACAUAUUGGUUAAGUCUAUUAUGUAUAAAUAGAUCCAGCCCUUUUGGGCUUAUAAUCAUGAAAAUUAACCUUUUAUCACAUGUUGGAGAAACAAUGAAUGUAUUUCCUAAGCAGUUACGUAGAUUCCAUUCUGCACUU